GAUCAGCCGAUGAUGCUGUCCUUCCCUCCUGUGUGCUCUGGCGGCGUGGGAAAAUUGAUUGAAGCUUUUUAUCUUGCGAAGGACACGAUCUCCCUUUUUUCCUUGAAAUGUUUGUGGACCCUGGACUGUUGGAAGUGGGAUCCUUCUCUGUAAGACCUGUCCGAGGUUUUCUCCAGUCUUGUCCGCUCCCAGUCUUCUGCAAAAUACGUGUUGACAAACUGAAAUGGCCGCUAGAAUGGGACACUGGGAGGAAGUAUGAUGCACGAUGAAAACCUUGAAGAGAAAGUGGGGCUGUUAUUUGUCUACUUUCCCAUAUUAUACUGCAGAUUCCAGUGCAACCCUCCAAGGUAUGCAGCGUUUCAGUCUGUAUGAUCCCAUUGGACUGCUCCCCUCAUCAUUGCCAGUAUGUAAUACAAUGCAUUCUAUUGACUUCUUGGGAAGCAGCUCUCACAGUGAAUUGACUGUGUUGCUAUGGCCUAAAGUAGGCUAAUUUCUCUCAAUGGUGCAUGAGUAAAUGUUAAAUGAAGCUACUGAACCCUGCUAUAUGAGAAUAUUGUUGCCCUCACUGUGUGUCUCCAUAUGUUGUGUGUGCAGAACUGACUGUC